AGGCCCCGCCCCCGCCGUACCUCCGGCAUGGGCGAAUCGGCCGGCAGGCGAUGGGACCCCCGGGAUUCGAGCCGCGCGGGUUAGGAAUUGGCCUCUGUAGCUAACGGACGCCUGAGAUCCGGGACUGCAGCACUCGCGGGAAAGGACGCUCCGAAAGAUGGCGACCAAACCUGGGCGGGAGCGUGGGGGAGCCCCUUCCCACCCCGGCCCGGGCCGCGGACAUCCGUGCGGAGGAGCGACGUCUGCGCACGUUGUGGGGCGGUGGACGCGCACAGGCGAGGGUGGGUGGGUGGGUGCUGAGCGGUUGUGGGAUGAGGGGUCUCUCAGUAGCGGUUGAGAGCCCAUCCUCUGACCACUGCUUUUUCAUGUAAAAGUCAGAAUCGUUCAAUCAGUCAUUAACUGGUUUAAGGCUGGCUAAACCACCUGGUUUGAAAUGCGUGAAAAUUACACAUGUACUAGACUUCUGUGAUUCCUUUGGGUGUGUAUUUUACAUAUCUCAGAAAUCAGAAACAUGAGUGCCCUAUCUAGCAGCCAGCAGUCCACCAAAAUGCCUACAAAACUUUAUCGUAAGUUCAAAAGGAUAGCGUAAUGCCACUGAAGUAAGCUCUCGAACCUGUAAGUAAUGUAUGGUCUUCCCCAUUCUAGGUUGAUGGCGAGGAUUUCUAGUUACUCAGGCCAAAAACUUUAUAUCAUCCAUAACUCCUCUCAUACUCUCAUUUUCACUUUCAAUCUGUCAAGAAAGCUUGUUGGUUGUACCUUCAAAAUAGAACAGAGUGGGCAACAUAGCGAGACCCUGUCUCUACAAAAAAAAAAAAAAAAAAUUACCCUGGUGUGUUGGCGUGUACCUAUAGUUCCAGGUACUCUGGAGGCUGAGGCCAGGAGUUACGUUACAGUGAGCCAUCAUCAGGCCACUGCACUCCAGCUUGGGCUGGACAGAGUGACACGUGUUCCAAAAAAAAAAAAAAUUCUCCAUCUUUCCUACCUUACUAUUUUUCCUUUCAUCCCAUGACACUUCCCACCUUGUAACAAUCUUUAUAAUUCAGAGUCAGCCCUCCGCAUCCAUGGCUUCUGCGUUUCUGGAUUCAACCAACCACAGAUGGAAAAUAUUUGGGAAAAAAAACACAACAAUUUAAAAAUACAAAUAAAAACCAAUACAAUAUAACAGCUAUUUACAUAGCACUUACAUUGUAUUAUAAGUAAUCUAUAGAUAAUUUAUACAGGAGGAUAUAUGUGGGUUAUGUGCAAAUACUAUAUCAUUUUAUAUUAGAGACCUGAGAGGAUUUUGGUACUGGUCGUGGUCCUAGAGCCAAUCCCCCUCGGAUACUGAGUUAACCAUAAGAUCUUUAUCUACAUCAUACCAUAAGCAUUUUGAUUUUCCAGUUACUGGUCUCACUUUGUCACCCAGGCUGGAGUGCAGUGGCCUAAUCUGUGCUAUCUCGGCUCUCUGCAACCUCUGUCUUCCGGGCUCAAGUGAUCCUCCCACCUCAGCCUCCCAAGGAGCUAGGACUACAAACGCACACUACUACACCUAGCUAAUUUUUGUGUUUUUGGUAGACAGGGUCUCACUAUGUUGCCCAGGCUGGUCUGAAACUCCCAGGCUCACACAAUCCGCCCUCCUCGCCUCACAAAGUGCUGGGAUUACAGGUGUAAGCCACGGUGUCUGGUCUGGAUGAUACUUUUUGUAGAGUAUGUGUGCAUAAUUAUUUGCUCAAUGUUAUAUUCAUAGCAGUCUCUUUACACAUUUAAUUUAUCCUUUAUGAUUUAAAACAAUUUAAAGCUACAGAUUACAUGUUACAAUUUGAUUUUUUAUAAAAUUAAAUAGACUUUUGUUUAUAAAAAAAUUGACAAUGUGUUUCAUCAAUGUUAAUCUGUAGUUUGUAAUUACAAUAAUACCAAAUAAAA
rnacentral:lncRNA from 1 species